AAACUUUUUGAAACGCCUGAUCCAAUUAUAAAAAACACUUGGAUAGUUGUAAGGAUUGAUGGUAAAAAUUUCAAGAGUUAAAAAAAUUAAGGCUUUCAGAAAAGCAUCAGUUUACAAAACCGUGGGAUGAAAGAGGUUUGCAUUUAAUGAAUUUUUGCGCCUUGCAAACUUUCAAAGAGUUUUCGGAUAUAAUAUUGGCUUAUGGUCACAGCGAUGAGUUUAGUUUUGUUUUUAGAAAAGAAACAGAACUAUAUUCGAGACGAGCGAGUAAAAUCCUUUCGUCGAUGGCGAGUUAUUUUACGAGUUGCUUUCUCUUCUUUUGGAAAAAUUACUUCGAGGAUCAGAAAUUGCUUUAUCCGCCCUCCUUUGACGCGCGCGUCAUCCCGUUUCCUUCAAAAAAAAAUCUCCGCGAUUAUUUGUCGUGGCGCCAAGUGGAUUGCCACAUUAACAAUCUUUACAAUUUUUGCUUCUGGUCUCUUAUAAAUAAAAAAAACUUUUCACCUCA